AAUUGCAAAAUACUUUAAAAAUAAGUAUGAUGAAUACCAUAUUUUUAAUAAAAGUUCAGAGAGAGAAUCACAAGGAAAAGUUUUAAUGACUGAGUUUGAAAUUUUAUUUUCUUACCUGGGAAUUUUAGUUUUAAACUUUGAUAUCUGAACAAAGCAGUAUUUGUAUUUUGGAUUAUGAAAACCCAUAUUACAAUUAUGAAGCAGAAGACCUUUUUAGCCAUCUAAAAUAUCAUUUUGAUUCAUUUAAUGUAGAUCUAUUAUUUGUACAGCCCUGACUUUUUGAAAUUGUGUGGUCUAAGCUGAAAAAUGUAGCACUUUUUGUGAAAUGGCAAUGACAAAGGGAACAUUAAUAAAAUGCCUCACAAAAUGUGAGGCCUAUAUUUACAAUGAUAAGUCAAGAUACUGUGAGAGGAAAUGAUAAUAAAAGGUCAGGCCAUCUUAAAUGACUUGAGCUAGUUUACCCUAAACUUAGACAUUUAUAGCUUAUACUUAGCUCAAUAUCAUCAACUAUGAAAAUUCAGGUAAACAGAACAUAAAUAUCACUAAAUUCACCAUUUAAGUGUUCUACUGACUCAAUUAUAGGCCUUUAAAGUAAUAGGAGCAAUAACACAUGUGCAAUUGGGCAAUCAUGUGUAUAUUCAUAUAUACACAUAGUACUAUUAUAUAUGUAUAUACAUUGUAUAUACAUGUAUAUAGUUUAUAUAUGCUGGAUUAUACUUAUAUGUAAAAUAUGCAUUUUUCUUACAUGUUUAACACUAGUUUUAUGCAUUUAUUUUUCUUGCUUCUGUCUAGCCACCAUCCAAGUGAAGCUUGGUGAUGUUAUAAGCCUCACUUUGGAAAUCUUCACAUGUAAAAAGUAAAACUGUAAUUAAUAUUUCUGAAUUUAAAAGUUCUUUCAUCUUCCACUUUGUUUCAUUUUGUUAUUUAAUUCAUAGGGGACAAAUCUCAGUCAUAUUGUGAUUAGAUUUUAAAUCUUCACAGUAAAAGAAACUCAUUUCUCAUAAGUAUGCAACAUGUCAAAUCAAAAACAAGUGCUUCUUUCUUCAUUUUUCUAUUUCUAGAAUAAACCUUACAGGUGGAAACAAUUUUAGUAGUUUUAUCAAUUAGAC
rnacentral:lncRNA from 1 species